rnacentral:rRNA from 1 species
GACAGAGGGUGCAAACGUUGCUCGGAAUUACUGGGCGUAAAGCGCGUGUAGGCGGGAAGAUAAGUCGGGUGUGAAAUCCCUGGGCUCAACCUAGGAACUGCAUCCGAAACUGCCUUUCUGGAGUGAUGGAGAGGAAAGCGGAAUUCCCGGUGUAGAGGUGAAAUUCGGUAGAUAUCGGGAGGAACACCAGUGGCGAAGGCGCGUUCUGGCCGAUCAACUGACGCUGAGACGCGAAAGCGUGGGGAGCAAACACGG